CCCUGCAUCCCCCUGCUCCCAGCCGUGCCCUGACCUGGCCGGGCGGUGGAGGCAAGGCUGGCGCCGGGAGUGCUCAGGUCCGGGUUCCAGAAGCCCCAGAUGUGGGUCACUACAGGCCACGCCGGGCCCUGGCCACUUCCCUCCCCCACCGGACUGCUCCUGCCCCCCCCGCCCCCCGCCGGCUCCUCCAGGGGACCCAGACUUUGGGGUCGAGGGAGAAGAGGGAUGUCAGCCGGAGGUCAUUCGGGAGGAACGUAGAAUCCCUGUUUGGCAGAGGAGUGGUUCCCGCAGAGACCAACACCUGGACGUCCUGGGUGGCUUCACUUCCGCCCUCCCCAAAGCUGGUCCUGUUGGCAUCCGGGGUGACUGUCCUGGGGCUGCUGCCCUGGACCCCCAGGAAAGUGAAGGGAGCCUACCAAGAGCUGCCAUAUUCUUGGCGAGAGCCAGCUUGAAUUUCACCUCCUUUCUAGCACCUUCCCUGGUGCCCACUACCCAAGGAAAAUUAAUGACCUCGUGCUAGAACUACUGGUCUGUCUUCUAUGAGAUUGGGAGCCUUUCUCAUGUCCGACGUAUGUGCUAAGUGCUGAAGGAACGUUUGGAGAGUGAAAGAUGUUUCUUGUCCCCUGGAAAAUUAUACUCUGAUUGGGGGAAAUAGAGCAUAUAAAUAAGUUCCAAGAUAAUGUAGCCUAAGGACCAGACUGGCUGCAUUAGUUCAUAUUUGUGGCUCCUUCUCCUGCCUUUGGAGUGUCUUCAUGCCUCCCCAAAGUUUCAAAGGACAAGAGCUGUCACCUAUAUUUUACUUCCAAGCACCUGCCGCCCGUUCUGCACACGGCAGGUGCCCAGCAUACGCCUGAAGGCGCACACCAGAUGUGAGAUGGCCUGCUCUGGCUCAGAAAAGGGCUGCCUUCGUAUGUCCCUAAUAGCCACAAGGAUAAACUCUGUCCUCAGAAGCACCCAGAAAGGUAGAUCUCAAGCUUUCCUGUUUUUUUUUUUUUUUUUUUGAGCAGAUCUUUGCCUCAAAUUAAAUCUUAAACAGAAGCUCAACAUAAACAAACCAGGUCUCCCACCAGUUAGCCAUGCAGAAAUCUUCAUUCAUCGGAGCCUGACUGGGCCAGCAUUUGGGAGAGGAGACAGCACUGGAGUAGGAGCCAAGAUGUCAGCAUCUCAUGCUGGCUCCACCACUCACUAGCAGAUGAUCUUGGACAAGCUAGAACCACCCAAGAGAAAGACACCUCUCCAAGUGCCCCUUUCAGAAUGGUUUUGAGGAUCCAAUAAAGUAGCCUUGCACACUUAGCACCAUUUGUGGAA